UUCUUGUUUGGUAGAUCAUGAUCAAUAUCAUGUUCUUUGUGUAUCUCUUGUUUUUUCAGAAACUGAUCAAUACUAGUGGCUGGUAGGACCAACUUCUUCUUCACCUGUUUGAAGCUUAGUAGAUCCUGAAUAUCAUAUUGUUCCUCUCCAUUACCUAGUGUUGUUCCAGUCACAUGUACAGAAGAAGUAACACCUUCCUUGGAUGACGUUUGGAACCUGAAGUUGUGCAUAGGAAGUUUAAAUCCUUUCUCUUGAAUGGACUCUCCAGAUUAAAAUAACCUCGGUUUAUUUUGUCCUUUCCCUACAAUUAUAUGUGAAGUACUAAGUUCUUCCCUAGAAGAUGAUUGAAUCACUGAUUUGUGGCCAACCAAUUUACUUUUUCCUUGUUGUGGAAUGAAAUCCUCGGAAUUCUUUCUUUUAAGCACUAUUGGUACAUGCUCUUUCUUAGCGUUAUUAUUGCGUUCGUUCGCAACAUGUUCUCUCUUAAUCUUA
rnacentral:lncRNA from 1 species